AUACAACCUGUCCUGUCUAGGUACUGUAAAUACAGCCUGUCCUGUCUAGGUACUGUAAAUACAGCCUGUUCUGUCUUGUCUAGGUACUGUAAAUACAACCUGUCCUGUCUAGGUACUGUAAAUACAGCCUGUUCUGUCCUGUCUAGGUACUGUAAAUACAGCCUGUCCUGUACUGUAAAUACAACCUGUCCUGUCUAGGUACUGUAAAUACAACCUGUCCUGUCUAGGUACUGUAAACACAACCUGCCCUGUCUAGGUACUGUAAAUACAGCCUGUCCUGUCUAGGUAC